UACGUAGGGGGCGAGCGUUGUCCGGAGUUACUGGGCGUAAAGAGCUCGUAGGCGGCUCGGUAAGUCGGAUGUGAAACCUCCAGGCUCAACCUGGAGACGCCAUCUGAUACUGCCGUGGCUUGAGUCCGGUAGAGGAGCAGGGAAUUCCUGGUGUAGCGGUGAAAUGCGCAGAUAUCAGGAGGAACACCAGCGGCGAAGGCGCUGCUCUGGGCCGGUACUGACGCUGAGGAGCGAAAGCGUGGGGAGCGAACAGG
rnacentral:rRNA from 1 species